GCCACACUGGGACUGAGACACGGCCCAGACUCCUACGGGAGGCAGCAGUGGGGAAUAUUGCACAAUGGGCGCAAGCCUGAUGCAGCGACGCCGCGUGAGGGAUGACGGCCUUCGGGUUGUAAACCUCUUUCAGUAGGGAAGAAGCGUAAGUGACGGUACCUGCAGAAGAAGCGCCGGCUAACUACGUGCCAGCAGCCGCGGUAAUACGUAGGGCGCAAGCGUUAUCCGGAAUUAUUGGGCGUAAAGAGCUCGUAGGCGGUUUGUCGCGUCUGCUGUGAAAGACCGGGGCUCAACUCCGGUUCUGCAGUGGGUACGGGCAGACUAGAGUGCAGUAGGGGAGACUGGAAUUCCUGGUGUAGCGGUGAAAUGCGCAGAUAUCAGGAGGAACACCGAUGGCGAAGGCAGGUCUCUGGGCUGUAACUGACGCUGAGGAGCGAAAGCAUGGGGAGCGAACAGGAUUAGAUACCCUGGUAGUCC
rnacentral:rRNA from 2 species